rnacentral:lncRNA from 1 species
CAUACUCGGGGAGAAAUUACAUAAGAAAAUUAGGGACGGGUCGUCACAAUCUACCCCCCUUAUAAAAAUUUCGUCCCCGAAAUUUAAAAUCAUUUGUUAUACAAAACUCAAAGAUAGGGAAGAAUGAAAUAUAUGUACGUGACGAAGAAAUCAAGUUAAACUUGUUGUAUAAAAAGGGAAAAUGCCGCUCUGUCGCGAUUCAGAGUGCAUUAAUUCCUUUUCAUGCCUCCAACUCAUACUUUCCUCCCUUUUUCAGUACAAUACUAUAAUACAAUAGUUUUCACAAAACAAAACGUCAAAAAUAUUUAUACGUAUUAACGUCCCAUCGAAAAUACAUAUAUAACAACAUAAGGUUUAGGGUAGUUGUAUUGAUAGUAAAAUUGAACAUAUGAUUUUUCUACUACGUUCCCGUGUCGCGUACUCCAAAAGUAAGUACAUCAUAUUCUUGGGUCAAGCCCAAGAAAUAAAUAGGUAAAAUACAACAAACACAUAAGUAAGUACUAAGUAAGCACUAACGUAUAAGAAUCUACAUACUUGCUUAACGAAUCUAACAAAUAAGUCCUUGAUAUUACGGUCUGCAGCCCGCGAUAUCGACAACUCACUGUUGUCAUGAUAAGCAAGUAACAAUUUCCUGAGGGUGCAAUAUUACCAAUAUGCCCCCAUUGGGAAUUACACAAACAACGUCUAGUCAAGUCUCUACCAUGCUCACGCACUACCCGCUUUGGGUAACAACAGCAAUAAAAUAAUUCUAUAUUGUGAACUUGCACAAUUGAACACUUGUUCGUAAAACUCCUCUGACAACAAGUGCUAAGCAAGGAAAUUCUAAACUAUGCCUCAACAAUGUCACAACCAAGACUAAAAAUUGUAACCAUAGUUACAAGCAGUUCUAACAUAAAUAUGUCUAAUACGAACAUGGUUUCGCAAAAGAGCAGAUAAACACAACAUGCCAUGACAAUCCAAGGGUGAAAUGUAGUCGAUGACAAAACGUACUACCAAGGUCUUCAAGAAGGCUUCCCAAAAAUUUGAAAGUAAAACACGCAUCUCGAUGAGGUACCACAGUGACGUACCUGCCAUGUAAUCAGACCAACGUAGUCCGCAACGCCUUAGUAAGCAAUUUCAUAGAGAAGUUCUCUCAAAUUUAGCGAAAAGUAACUACUUCAAUAAGGCUAGAAGAAUACUCGAGAAUUUGAAGAUCAAAACAAGUCUAUCAAGUUUAGGGUAUGAGAAAACUGGAUUGGAAAGCAUAACCUCACUACAAUAGUAGUUUUCGAGAUAUUUAAUCACCACGGUAAAGAUUCGUUCAACAGAGCAUUUGUUGGGUGAUUGAGCAAUUAAUGGUCACAACUGCACUUCCAACGUCAACGGUUCUUCUAGAUAGUGUAUCCACUUCAAGGCAAUACGAAGUGUAGUAGGGUAGACACAUACCCAAGGUUAACUAGAAUACCUUCCAGCACCAAGAGGCAAAAAUGUUGUCUUUUUAAACCAACAAAAUGUGAAUUGACUUGUCACAUCAAUCGAUAAUCACCAUACAUUGCUAGUACUUAGUAAUUUUAGUAUUUUAAGCUAUUUUCGUGCAAUUUCAGGUUUUAAGGACAAAGUAUGCAUACAUGUGCAUUUUGGAGCCUUUUGGAGCAGUUUUGGGCAUCAAAUGAAUUGCAUAUGCUUGGAGGUAAGAAGAUGGACGAAAUUGAAGAUCAAAUGAGCAUAGGAUUGAAUGAUGAUGUGAAGAAUUGGAUUCAAGACAAAUAAAGAACGAAGUGUUCAAAAUUGGAAGCCAAAGUUUCUAAAGUUGGAAGUUUCUAUUCUUGGAGGUUUCCAUUCUUGAUAGUUUCUAUUCGUGGCUUGGAAGUUUCCUAAUCUUUCCUCACCUAUGUUCCAGCCACAAAGGGAUUCCAAAACAUAUUAGGGCACUUAAUUGGUUGUUCUAGAAGCCCUAAACCUUCCCUAAAGUCCUUGCCGCACAAAAGCAUCCUUUCUUUCCUAUUUUCUGAUCUUAAAACCACAUUCCCUUUUAUUCAAGCAACCAGCCGCACCUUUCCCCUCUUUCUUACCUAUUUUCUGACCCAAAAUUACAUUCCCCUUUGUUCUAAAGCCUUGCCAUACAAGGGGAUAGGAUUCUUACCUAUUUUGUGCCUCAAAACACAUUCCUAAAUCUGCCCUACAAUCUUUGCCGAAUUUCCCUUCCUUUUCUCUUUAAUUCUUGCACCUUACUUGCCUAUUUUCCAUUGAUUUCUGACUUUUAAUUAUAGGACAAAAUAGCUAAGUUAUUUCUUUCCCUAAAACUCAUAAAAACCGUGCCCUAGCCCUAUAUAAAACCUCUUUUUGCCGCAAACUCGGGGGGGGGGGGGCUCUCUUUCUCUUCUCUUCUAAUCAGCCAUUCCAUCCUUCACCAUAACCUACCUACAUCCAUCCACCACCACAAUUCACCACAAAUCAUCACCAAACACCCUUGUGUCGCAGCAAAGAAGAAAGAAGGAAACCCUUGGACGUGCUUGCCAUUCAAGACGUUGGAUUGUUGGAGCGUUUCUAGGUGUAAUCUUUCUUUUGUUUUCAAUGUUUAAGUUUAUGUAUCUUUGUUUUGCGAACAUGAGGAACUAAGCCCCUCUUGGCUAGGGGGCUAUUCAAUACCAUGAUUAUACUUGCAUUAUGAAUUGAUUACCUUCAGUUGUUAUUUCAUAAGUUGUGAAUUCAAUUUGCUUAACCGUUUGAUUGAUAACUUAUUCUUGUAUGUUUAUUAAGAGUGCACACUUAGUUUUCAUGCAAGGAUUUGAAGCUAAAAUAUAAGGGAGUUUCACCUAAUAGUUACAAAUUUAUAUUUGCAAGUAGUGGAGGUCGCUUAUAAACGAUCAUGUUAAGUGAAUUCUUGGCAAAAGUUUCAUGCUUUUCAUAGUUACAAUUGCCUUGUCAAUGCGUAUAGUUUUCAUGAAACUUAAUGAUCUUUGAUUGUACCUUUAUUGUGCUUUUCACGUAGGGGACUUUUAGAGAAUGCUUUGAAUUGAUUAUGUGCUUUCCCAUCCAAUUCAUUAACUUAAGGAGAACUUGAAGGUUAAAAAAGUGUUGUCACAGUUAACCUGGAGUAUUGAGUUUCAUGACUUAUUAAGAUAAGCAAUUGGAAAUCAAUUUGAAUGCAAGUGUGUCAUGUGUGGAGAAGAACCCUUUAGUUACCCCAUAUCUCAUCAAUUCACCUAAAUUUGCUUCAGAAUCUGUUUAAAUUGUUCUUGUUUUAAUUUACUUAUUUUCGUCCAAAACCAAACCCCCUUUACUUUGUUAAGUCAUAUUAGUUAGAACUUGUCUUAGAUUGUGUUUUUAAGUGUUUUGAGCCUUUAGAAACCCAAAUUUCGUCCAAAUUGUGUUUAGAGUUCAAAACUGCCUAGUUUGUGUUUUUAGGCAGUUUUGAGUGUUUUUAGCUUGUUUUGAGUCUUUUGAGUUUGUUUUGAGUCUUUUGAGUCUAGUUAAGUGUUUUAAAGCUUAGUUUUAUCUAUUUGAGUCUGUUUAGAGUGUUUAGCAAUCUCUCCUAAUCCCCGGUUUAAGAAUGAUCCCUACUUAUACAUAUACUACAAUUGUCAACAAGAGGGUUUAAUUUGUGUGUUUAGUUAUUUUACGCAUCAACUAGGACUGUAUGACGAUAUUUUCCUAUCUCUACCCAGACAUAUGAAAUGAUUACAAUCACUCGAAUGAUUCUUGAUCACUUGUAAGUAUCGUCAAAUAAAUACUCAUGAAUCCUUGUUAUAAUGGGAUAGGAUAAGUUAAAGACUUUCAAGGGUAGAUGUGUCUUUUGUUGUUGGAGCUGCAAAUACGUUGCACAAUCGGGAUAAUACACGAUAGUGCAAUCGCACACAUUGAUCUAGUUCUUCCAUCGUCGUUGUUAGAAAUUUAGCCUUUACUCAGCGAAAGUGUACUCGAGAAAUUGUGAGGUUGAUGAACAUUUGGUACACGUUUCUCCAUAUAGGAGUGUCAUUCAGCUUUCAAUUAAAAAUGAUGAUUAUUGACUCUGGGUCAUGAAUAAGAUGGUUCAUUUUGAACAAUUCUAACCGUUGAAAAUAGAAGCAAUACUUCGUCGUGCCGUUUCUGCAUAGCUUAAACAUUCGAAGGACACGUCACACUGGAUUUCGAAAAUAUCAGAGUCAAUAAAAGGUGUAAAACAAAGGUAAGAUGAGACAACAUUUCAGUGGUCAGAAACUUUAAUCAUUUUCAAUAACGCCACCUAAAUUAACUUUCCUCGGUCGUAAGUGAGGAAAGACAUGGUAGCCGAAAAGAUCGUCAACAAUUUGUCGAUAAAUUGACAAGAUCAAGAUAUCAUGGUUUUGCAAUACCUUACAAGAAUUUCAACCUUCUUCCACUAAACCCUUUUUGGAAAAAAAGGAAAGAUUGUCGUUUACCAAGAUCACGUCUUCCAAGAAAAUACCAACUAACAAGGGUUACUUGAGGAAAUGGUAUAAACUGAAUGUUGGUGUUCCCAAACACUAAAAUUGAGGAGAGAGAGUCGUUGGUAAAACUACUCUGAAUUUCAUUCGGCUAUGAAAGAAUUCUCAGUUUCCAAAAGUCAAUUGGAGAGUACAAUAAUUCGAAGUAGGACUAACGGUUUUAGUCGUCAACCGAUUGAAUUGUUAAAGUCUAGGUACGAUUCUAGGGUUUGACCUUUUGCUUUGAGUAUACGUUUGAGGUUCCUAAGAUAAAGUGUUUGGUUGGUUAUGCGACAAGGGCCCUCUAUAAAAGUUAUGUGUCUUUUUCUCUUAAGGGUUCGAAAAGAUGCAAGGAAAAACUGGUGUAGUAUAGAGAAUGGAUCGAGGUGUGCCUUACCUCGCUAAUUGGUGACGGCUCUGAAGCAAAUUGAGAAAUGACGCCAAAAGUAUACGUCAUCAAAUUGAACAAUACUACUUCUUUUCUCUACGCCACGUACUACAAGGCCUUCAUAACCUCCUCAAAACUCAUUUCGCUCCUAAAUUUCCACGAUUUAGUUCUUCGGUUCAAGUAGUCACUUUAAAUCAGUUUAUCAGUCGCGCCGUAAUUUAACACGCUUAGGAUAAUUUAAUAUUGUUCGUUACUCUGAAACAGUGAACUGGCAUUCUGGCUUAAAGGUAUCACUCCCAGAUACUAAUACUUGCAUCCAGUAUCAGAAAUCAUACCACCAAAUGAUGUGAGAAUUACUUGACACACAAAUUAAACCCUCUUUUUGACAAUUGUAGUAUAGAUGUAAGUAGGGUAUCGUUCUAGGCCGGGGAUUAGGAGGGCUUGCUAAUAAUCUCUUACUUGACUCAAAAAUAUAAGAACAAAGUUAAAAACGUUAGAAUAGACUCAAUGACACAAAACUAUACCUUACAAUACCUCACUAGACUCAAAACACUUUAAGGCACAAACUAAACAAACUUAAACACACUUUGAUACAAGAAAGUAAAUGGGGGGUAUUGGUUUGGAUGAGAUUGAGAUAACAAAAAGUAAAACUAAAUAGAUGGUUGAUGGAUUAGCUAGAGAUCCAUUCUUCACACAUGACACACUUGUA